rnacentral:lncRNA from 1 species
CAGAAAGGCUAGCUCUGGGCGCACAGGAGCCUGCCUGUUUUGCAGGUUAUAAGCAGCCUCCUCACAUUCUUCAUAGGCUUGGCCUGAGUGCUGUUCUUCCUUAUGGUACAGCAUGAGUUCUAAUAGGCCUCUUCAGGAUGGCAUAUUCUUGCAUACCUGUGAUUUCCAUCUUGAGUAGAGCAUGCUGAGCUAGCACACUCAGAGCUGGUAACACUGAGGGCAGCUAACGCUGAAUGCUCCUGGCAGCAGGGCUGGUGACACGGAAGGUGGCUGACAGCCGAGGAUGACGGACAGCAAUGAAGAAUAGCCAGGAGCCACCAUCUGUGGGGGCCAGAAGGAUUCCUGAGACAUGGGCAGCUGCUGGCUCCAGGUACCAAGCAGGGCUGGUGACACUAGAAGAGCUGCGCUCUGCUGAUUGGUGAUUUCUAUAUGAAUUCAGCAAGAACCCUCGGCUGAUUGGUGACACCUUGGAAGCUGGAACAGGGACCCUUGGACAAUGAUCAUCAUCAGGCUCAGGAAUGUUUUAUUUCCAUCUUACAUGUGGCUAAAAACCUGCACUAACUGGUACUGGGGAUCGAACUUGGGUCCUUCCACUUGUGAGGCAAGCAGCGGAACUACUGAGCUAAAUCCCUGGUGACACUGAAAUUUCUUUAUGUGAGCAAAGUGCUCCCAAAUUGAGCUACAUCUCAGCCCUGAAAUUGAAUUUUUUGGUUUAUUUUGAGACAGGGUGUCACUAUAUAGCCCAAGCCAGCCUUGAACUCGCUGAGUAAUCCAGGGUUGCCUUGAAUUUAUAAUCCUCCUGCCUCUGCCUCCAGGUGCUGAGAUUUAUAGGCUGGAGUUUUCUUUAUGAAGAAUGAAGUUUUUCUGUGCACUGGAAGCAGGUGUUGUGGUAGGGAGAUGGAAGGCAGCAGACAUCUGAGGAAGGUGGAGAAAACAGCAGAUGGUCUCAACAAAGAAUGGAAACCAGUACUGAGAAUGGAAAGUAAGGCUUGGGAUGUUGCUCUGUGGAAGAACACUUGAACACUUGCCUAGCAUGGCCAAGUCCCUGGUUGGUUCAAUUCCCAACACCAGGCCAGGGAUUUAGCUCAGUGGUUUCGCUGCCUGCUGUGCAAGUGCAAGGACCCGAGUUCGAUCCCCGGAACCAAAAAAACAAAAAACAAACAAACAAACAAAAUAAAAUAAACAAAUCUAC